rnacentral:rRNA from 1 species
GACGAACGCUGGCGGCGUGCUUAACACAUGCAAGUCGAACGGAAAGGCCUCUUUCGGGGGGUACUCGAGUGGCGAACGGGUGAAUAACACGUGAGUAACCUGCCCUUGACUUUGGGAUAACUUCAGGAAACUGGGGCUAAAACCGGAUAGGAGCUCCUGCUGCAUGGUGGGGGUUGGAAAGUUUCGGCGGUUGGGGAUGGACUCGCGGCUUAUCAGCUUGUUGGUGGGGUAGUGGCUUACCAAGGCUUUGACGGGUAGCCGGCCUGAGAGGGUGACCGGCCACAUUGGGACUGAGAUACGGCCCAGACUCCUACGGGAGGCAGCAGUGGGGAAUAUUGCACAAUGGGUGGAAGCCUGAUGCAGCAACGCCGUGUGCGGGAUGACGGCCUUCGGGUUGUAAACCGCUUUCGCUCAUGACGAAGCUUUGUGUGACGGUAGUGGGUAAAGAAGCACCGGCUAACUACGUG